GAUGAAGAACGCAGCGAAAUGCGAUAAGUAGUGUGAAUUGCAGAAUUCAGUGAAUCAACGAAUCUUUGAACGCACAUUGCGCCCUUUGGUAUUCCUUAGGGCAUGCCUGUUCGAGCGUCAUUUAAACCUUCAAGCUAAGCUUGGUGUUGGGUGACUGUCCGCUUCACGGCGGACUCGCCUCAAAAUUAUUGGCGGCCGGUACAUUGGCUUCGAGCGCAGCAGAAACGCGAACUCGGGCCCGUCGUAUUGGCUCCCAGAAGCUAUCUUCACAAUUUUGACCUCGGAUCAGGUAGGGAUACCCGCUGAACUUAAGCAUAUCAAUAAGCGGAGGA
rnacentral:misc_RNA from 1 species